rnacentral:rRNA from 1 species
GAUGAACGCUGGCGGCGUGCCUAAUACAUGCAAGUCGAGCGAACGGACGAGAAGCUUGCUUCUCUGAUGUUAGCGGCGGACGGGUGAGUAACACGUGUAUAACCUACCUAUAAGACUGGGAUAACUUCGGGAAACCGGCGCUAAUACCGUAUAAUAUUUUGAACCGCAUGGUUCAAAAGUGAAAUACGGUCUUGCUGUCACUUAUCGAUGGAUCCGCGCUGCAUUAGCUAGUUGGUAAGGUAACGGCUUACCAAGGCAACGAUGCAUAGCCGACCUGAGAGGGUGAUCGGCCACACUGGAACUGAGACACGGUCCAGACUCCUACGGGAGGCAGCAGUAGGGAAUCUUCCGCAAUGGGCGAAAGCCUGACGGAGCAACGCCGCGUGAGUGAUGAAGGUCUUCGGAUCGUAAAACUCUGUUAUUAGGGAAGAACAUAUGUGUAAGUAACUGUGCACAUCUUGACGGUACCUAAUCAGAAAGCCACGGCUAACUACGUG